rnacentral:rRNA from 1 species
GCGAGUGAAGCGGCAACAGCUCAAAUUUGAAAGCUGGCCCCCCCGGGGGUCCGCGUUGUAAUUUGUAGAGGAUGAUUCGGCGAGGGCUCCCGCCUAAGUCCCCUGGAACGGGGCGUCAUAGAGGGUGAGAAUCCCGUAUGCGGUGGGCUGCCUUAGCCACGUGAAUCUCCUUCGACGAGUCGAGUUGUUUGGGAAUGCAGCUCUAAAUGGGAGGUAAAUUUCUUCUAAAGCUAAAUACCGGCCAGAGACCGAUAGCGCACAAGUAGAGUGAUCGAAAGAUGAAAAGCACUUUGGAAAGAGAGUUAAAAAGUACGUGAAAUUGUUGAAAGGGAAGCGCUUGCAGCCAGACUUGUCCGCAGUUGCUCAGCCGGUCUCCUGACCGGCGCACUCUUCUGCGGCCAGGCCAGCAUCAGUUCGGGCGGUCGGAUAAAGGCCCCGGGAACGUAGCUCCUCUCGGGGAGUGUUAUAGCCCGGGGUGGAAUGCGGCCAGCCCGGACUGAGGAUCUCGCUUCGGCUAGGAUGCUGGCGUAAUGGCUGUAAGCGGCCCGUCUUGAAACACGGACCAAGGAGUCUAACAUCUAUGCGAGUGUUUGGGUGUCAAACCCAUGCGCGUAAUGAAAGUGAACGGAGGUGGGAACCCUCGCGGGUGCACCAUCGACCGAUCCUGAUGUCUUCGGAUGGAUUUGAGUAAGAGCAUAGCUGUUGGGACCCGAAAGAUGGUGAAC